UGUAGGCUACUCAGGCAUUCAGUUGUAG
rnacentral:sRNA from 1 species